AGAUAAUGAUCUUGUAAAAGUUUAUAUUUUGAAAAUAUAAGAUAGAAAAAUAAAUUCUAUUAUCUU
rnacentral:tRNA from 1 species